UACGUAGGGUGCAAGCGUUGUCCGGAAUUAUUGGGCGUAAAGAGCUCGUAGGCGGUUUGUUGCGUCGGCUGUGAAAUCCCGAGGCUCAACCUCGGGUCUGCAGUCGAUACGAGCAAACUAGAGUGUUGCAGGGGAGACUGGAAUUCCUGGUGUAGCGGUGAAAUGCGCCAGAUAGUCAGGAGGAACACCGGUGGCGAAGGCGGGUCUCCUGGGGCGAAACAACGUGACGCUGAGGAGCGAA
rnacentral:rRNA from 1 species